UUCAAACAAUUUAACAUGAAUUUAUAAUAAUCACAAUAUACUUCGUGAGAAGAAAAGCUUACAUUUUAUAAAUAUAUAUGAGUUAAACUGUAUUCUGGAAAGCUUUUGCACAUCUCCAUACAAAAUUACGGUGAGCACAUGCAUAUUGAGCAAAAGCCAAAAUUUCACGAGACACCCACAUCAGGUUCCUCAACAUCAGAAUCAAGCUGACAAGUGUCCUCAGCUUCAGAGAUGUCCUCAGCAUCAGACUCAAGCGGACAAGGGUCCUCAUCUUCAGUAAUGUCCUCACCAGAAUCAAGCAGAGACGAUUUCCUAUUUUCAUAAUCUGGCUUAACCAGAAACUUAUACCAAGGUAUUGGGUCGUAGUCCUCAUGGGGUGAAGACUCUAUCAUCAGGGCUGCGUGAGAGAAAGCAUACAAUCAUUUUUCUUUUCCAAGGAAUCAAUAACAAGGAUUUCAAGACUUCCACGUCGUCUUAAAACUACGUUGACUUCUUUUCUUAUAAUGAAAAUUAUUAUGUUGGGGAACAACUUAUGCAGAAGUUUGAAACAUUGGUCAGAAGUUAAAUUCGUUAACUUCUUGUGUGCUAUGAGCUGAUCAAGGAUAAAGAUAAAAUUUACAACAGCCCAAUUAUAAUUUACCUAGGAGGUUCGCAAUCGUAAAGGGAUGUCCUACAUCUUACAGAAGACACAUAACCCAUGAAAUUAAAUGACUUACCCCCAUAUUUCUUUCUUUUAAUAUCAAAAACGUAAUCUGGAAGCACAUCUAGAACAUUUG
rnacentral:lncRNA from 1 species